rnacentral:lncRNA from 10 species
GUAAUUUCAAGGUUACAAGCACUGGCGAGCCCAGCUGGAGCUUGGUGAGAAGGGCCCCUUCUAGCCAAGGGAGCAAGUCUGGUUUCCAUUAGACUGAGUUUGAGGCAAUGAUGGGUUUCCCUGGCAACGUUUGGAAAUAAGGAUCUGGAACUGCAGAGGCUCCGCUGGGUGGGAGACGAAGUCUCAGGGUCUGGCUGUUUGAAGGUGGCAAAAAGAGCCCUUGGAUUUGGAAAUUAGAAGGAAGAAGAAGGAAAUGAAUAUGGAUAGCAAGUAAACCGAUGGACCCCAGAGACGGCCACAGGAGUCCCUCCUAGCUGGGACUCCAUCCUGCAUACUCCUGCCUCCUCCAUCCUCUGCCCCACUGCUGCCAGAGUGAGCUGUCCUGAACACAACUUCCAUCUCGUUUUUUCCCUGCUUGAAACCUUUUAAUGAUAUCCCAUUACACUUGAACAAGACCAAACGGGGCUCAGGGAGCCUCCUGGGCUGGUCCCUCACAAGUUCUUGAGCUCCCACUCACCAUUCCCACCCUCACGGCUGUCUUUCACUCCUCAGGCGUGCCUCCCACCUCAGGACCUUUGCACAUGCUGUUCCCACCACCACCACAACCCCAGCCCCCACCUCGUUAACUCUCUCCAUCCUUCAGAUCUUGGCUCCCACAUCACUUCCUCCGGGAAGCCUUCCAGAAAGCCCCACACCAGGCCAGGCUCCCUCGGCACCUGCCUUUUUGUAUCCAUGUUACCUUUCUUCCAAACACCCAUUUCGACUUGCAAUUACACAAUGCACUGUACUGUCAUCACUCAACCUAAACCUUUUUUCAAAUUCUGUUUUGUCUAAGAGGACACAGACUGUUUCUGUCGUGUACGCAAUUCUUUCUGAAGUGCCUAUUUCAGAACCCGGCACGCAGUAUGUGCUCAACAAAUAUCUACUGAAUAAAUUAAUAAAUGAGAGUUAAAGAUGAAUACACGAAUGAUAUCUAGAUUGGUUGAUAGACUGGAAGACUAUGGAGAGUCAAGUUCUCGAGAAGUUGAGGAAUAGGCAUGGGGGAAUAACCAUGACGGCUUUUAGGAGAGGAAGGUGUGAGCCCAGUGGGAGAGGUAUAAUGCAUCGCUUAGAGUGGUCAAGAAACUGGGAGUCCAGGUUUUGGGGCUGCUUGUCCACAUAGUCAGCGAGGUCACCCAGGACUGCCCUGGAAGGUUGUCUAAUUAAUAUUUGCCUGAAUGUAUACAUUCAUUAAUUAAUAAUCCCACUCUUGAGCUUGGUCUUUUGGGAAAUCUGUACCAACUGCAAAACCCUGUAUGAGUGCCUAAUUAAAAUUCCAGACUAAUUUUUAUUAUUGAUGCAUGUUUUCUGAUUGAUGUGAUUGUAAUUAUAAUAUAUCAUUAGCAUAUUCAGUAUGAAUAUGAAUUAGCUAUGAAUUGCAGAAAGGAUAAUAUAAUCAAAGAAGGUAGAAUGUGCCUUUUAGCCUAUUUCAGAUGAGUUGCCUGUAACAGUUUUCAUGAAGCAGAAAUCAAAAUCCCUUAUAAAGGGUGUGGUAGCCCUUCAGAUGGCCUCUAUUCGUUGGACAUGGCCUGGUCAAGACCUGGCAAGCCAACUUGUACAAGGAGUAAGAGGAAGGUCACUGAAGUGGACCUGGGGCCAUCUUUGGUGAAUAAAUUAAGAGUCAUCCGUUUCUUCCUCUAUGGGGAUCCCUGAACUGACCACUGAAUUUAUUCCAUCCAUCACAGGAAAUGACGUUGAGA